UACAGAGGGGGCAAGCGUUAUUCGGAAUUAUGGGGCGUAAAGGGCGCGUAGGCGGCUUUUCAAGUGACGGGUGAAAUCCCUCGGCUUAACCGAGGAACUGCCUGUCAGACUGGAAGGCUUGAGACCGGGAGAGGUGAGUGGAAUUCCCAGUGUAGCGGUGAAAUGCGUAGAUAUUGGGAGGAACACCAGUGGCGAAGGCGGCUCACUGGACCGGAACUGACGCUGAGGCGCGAAAGCGUGGGGAGCAAACAGG
rnacentral:rRNA from 1 species